CUCCCAAGCCCAAGACCUCCUGCUUUUCCCCCUCCACCAGUCCCUCCCAGCUCUGCCUUACCUCGGAUGGGGUGUGAGAUGUCCCGCCAUGGCUGCUGAGGGGUGACCUGGCUGUGCAGCACUUGCAGAAAGCAGAGGGUCGGUGUGUUGGUGAUGCUGCAGGAAGAGCCCAAGUGGGGGAAGCUGAAGACAUGAUCUACAGGCCAAAAAGAGUCAGUACAGCUCCCCAGCAAUCUACAGCCCUGGGGAAAAAUGGCCAACAGUUGGGGCUGCCUGGCAUUCAUCCCUUGUAUAGGGACACAACACCCCGCAGGGUCAGCAGCCUGCUUUUGGACGGUGAAAGUGUGAGGUCUGGGUGUGGGAGCCCUGGAAGUGCCACCACGCCUGUGCUGGCCCAGGUGUGACAGUCACUGGCCCAAAUGUGCCCCCUGCCCAGGGAUGGGCAGGGAAAAGCCCAAGGGGAAAUGUCACCUGCUGCUGCUGGGGCUGCGCUGGCCCUGCCAUGAUGACACUUGGACAAAUCACAGCCAUGCCUGGCACCUCUGAUGCAUUCUUUUACAUCCUAACAUCUCCAAUUCCUGUAGUAGAGGAGCUCAUAAUUUUGUAAGAGGUGUUUGAGCCUCUCCAUGAGGGGUGAAGGAUAGAUCUCAGCUGUGGCACCUGGAACCUUGAGUAAGUCCCUUCAGUCUACAACAUUACGAGGCAGGCUGGGUUUCGCAAAAUGAGUUGGGAUCCUUGGGUGGAAAAUGCUACGUAAGAGCUUGAAAUUCCACUGCUCUGAGCCAGGACGGGCGCUCCUUUCCAGGCUCCGUCCCUUUCCCUCUGUGUUAGCAGUGCUGGACCAUGAAUGAGCCAUGACAGGCUGUGGCUUUGCAGGCAAAUACAUAUUUAGAAACUGGAGGGCAUUUUCCCCUUAGAUUAUUGUCACUUGAAUGUAGGUUGGCCUGACAGCUUAGGUGGAAAACCAUCUUCUGAGUGUACCGGCAGCUCCACACUCACUUGCCCCACUAAUCCCCUCCGUGUGCACCCUGCUUUGGGCAAAAACUUCUCCCCAUGCUGGCAGCACCCUCAUGGUGCUCCAAACUCCUGGGGCCAAUCUGGGAGGGAGUCACUCAUCCCUGUGCUCCCUGCAGAUGUCUGUCUGUCCAUGCUCAGCUGUCGGCCCUCCCUUCCCAUAGCUCUGCCUGUGCGUUUUGCAGGUGCUCCUGCCUGCCUGCAGCACGCACCCUCCACGGCGCUUUGGAAAUGCGGGCUCUGCUGCAUCCCUGGUGGGGAGGGCUGCUCGGUCGUCACAUGCUCCUGUUAAACCUUCUGUAUUUUUCCUCCCCCGAAUCUGCAACUUUCAUCCUUUAAAGCAGCUUGGCGGUGCCUCCCCUGUG